GGGACAACAGUUGGAAACGACUGCUAAUACCGCAUAAGCCCACGGGUCGGCAUCGACCUGAGGGAAAAGGAGUGAUCCGCUUUGAGAUGGCCUCGCGUCCGAUUAGCUAGUUGGUGAGGUAACGGCCCACCAAGGCAACGAUCGGUAGCCGGACUGAGAGGUUGAACGGCCACAUUGGGACUGAGACACGGCCCAGACUCCCACGGGAGGCAGCAGUGGGGAAUAUUGCACAAUGGGGGAAACCCUGAUGCAGCGACGCCGCGUGGAGGAAGAAGGUCUUCGGAUUGUAAACUCCUGUUGUUGAGGAAGAUAAUGACGGUACUCAACAAGGAAGUGACGGCUAACUACGUGCCAGCAGCCGCGGUAAAACGUAGGUCACAAGCGUUGUCCGGAAUUACUGGGUGUAAAGGGAGCGCAGGCGGGAAGACAAGUUGGAAGUGAAAUCUAUGGGCUCAACCCAUAAACUGCUUUCAAAACUGUUUUUCUUGAGUAGUGCAGAGGUAGGCGGAAUUCCCGGUGUAGCGGUGGAAUGCGUAGAUAUCGGGAGGAACACCAGUGGCGAAGGCGGCCUACUGGGCACCAACUGACGCUGAGGCUCGGAAGUGUGGGUAGCAAACAGGAUUAGAUACCCUGGUAGUCCACACCGUAA
rnacentral:rRNA from 1 species